rnacentral:tRNA from 1 species
GGUUUAAUAUUCUAUGAUAAGAUUGUAAAUUGCAAGUUUAUAGAUGUUAAAAAAAUGACUUAAACUU